rnacentral:rRNA from 1 species
CCAGCAACUUGGAGGAAUGUAUAGCAAUAGCUGAUUGCACCAACAAAUAGUUGAUGCAAUAUUGACUCUGUCAAAUAAAAUUCUAGGUAGAAUUAUGAUAAUGACAUUGUCUGCCUAUAUGUCUUGACCAAAUUACGUGCCAGCAGUCGCGGUAAUACGUAGAAGACUAGUGUUAUUCAUCUUUAAUAGGUUUAAAGGGUACCUAGACGGUAAAUCAAGCCUUCACAGGGACUAAUUUACUAGAGUUACUUACGAGGGGGUAUUAAAGUACUGCAGGUGUAGAGAUGAAAUUCUGUCAUACCUCUUUUCAAAAGAAAAAUUAUGGCACAGGUAUAGGUGAAAGCAUCCCCUUAUGUGAUAACUGACGUUGAAGGACGAAGGCUUUGUGUCGCGAACAGGAUUAGAUACCCCAGUAGUCAAAGCAGAAAAUGAUGAAUGUCAUAGAUUAGAUAAAUAGUUUAUUCUAUAAAUGAAAAUGUAAGCAUUCCACCUCAAGAGUAAUUUGGCAACAUUGGAACUGAAAUCAUUAGACCGUUUCUGAAACCAGUAGUGAAGUAUGUUGUUUAAUUUGAUGAUCCGCAAAAAACCUUACCACAAUUUGAAUAUUUAUAUCUAUCUUUUUUUUUUCGUAAAAAAAUAAAAAGGUAAUAUAUUUACAAGCGUUGCACGGCUGUCUUCAGUUAAUGUCGCGAGACUUUGGUUAGUUCCAUUAAAUUAACGUAAACCCUUACUUUAUUUUUAUAUGAAGUAGUUCCCCGCUAUAUUGGAUAUGAUAACAGGGACUAAGACAAGUCAUCAUGG